rnacentral:rRNA from 1 species
AAUCAACGCUGGCGGCGUGCCUCAGACAUGCAAGUCGAACGCGAAAGUUCCCUUCGGGGAGUGAGUAGAGUGGCGCACGGGUGGAGUAACACGUAGGUAAUCUACCUUUGGUAGUGGGGAAGUAAACAACCGGAAACGGGUUAGCUAAUAACCGCAUAAUGCAGCGGCACCUAAUGGUGACAGUUGUUAAAGACGGGGGAGUCGAAAGACCUCGCGUCUGAAGAGGAGCCUGCGGCGGAUUAGCUAGUUGGUAAGGUAACGGCUUACCAAGGCGACGAUCCGUAGCCGGCCUGAGAGGGCGGUCGGCCACACUGACACUGACAUAC